AGAUUUUAUAAACAAAUUUGAGACAUUGAUGCUUUUAAACAGCGUUGGUGUUUUAAUGAGAUUGAUUGUUCUGUUGUUGAGGAGUUGA